GAGGAAGAUCGACCAGAGCUCUCUCUCUCUUCUCUAGGCAUGUGCUCUGAGAAAAGGUCAUCUGAGGACAAAGUACCCGUCUGCAAGCCAGGAAGAGAGCCCUUGCCAGAAACUAAACCCCGCUGGAAACUUGAUUUUGCGCUUUCCAGCCUCUAGAACUAAUAUGUGAAAAACAUUUAAAUCAGAAAGUAAAUGACAGGAUGAUUUGCAAGACACAGGGAUGUAAAAUUAAAAAGCCUCUCGAGCUCCAAAGAAAUUACUGUUUAAUAUUAUAUCAUGUUGAAUUUUUCCCAAUGGUAAUCUUAUGAUGGCUGCAGCUACCUGUUAACUUCAACAAGCACACUGGCCUGGAGACUACAUGAUGGUGUAUCAGUAAUGGAUUUACAACUGCAAACAUCUCAAGCAGCAGUGCCACAUCCCUGCUACCUCCCUGCUUGUGCGUGUGUCCCUACAUUAUCCAAAAUAGGGGUGGGCUAAUGACGAUUGCAGGCUAACUCCAGCCUACCACUUGCUUCUAUAAAUAAAGUCUUAUUGUACACAAA
rnacentral:lncRNA from 1 species